rnacentral:rRNA from 1 species
UACGAAGGUGGCAAGCGUUACUCGGAAUUACUAGGCGUAAAGGGCAGGUAGGUGGUCUGAUAAGUCUGUUGUGUAAGCUCCCGGCUUAACUGGGAGAGGUCAACAGAUACUGUCAGGCUAGAGUAUAGGAGAGGUUACUGGAAUUCCCGGUGUAGCGGUGAAAUGCGCAGAUAUCGGGAGGAACACCAAUGGCGAAAGCAGGUAACUGGACUAAUUACUGACAUCAGCUGCGAAAGCUA